UCCAGUUCCAUCCAGGUUACCGCGAAUGCC
rnacentral:piRNA from 1 species